CGGUGACAGGUGGUGCAUUGGUUGUCGUCAGCUCGUGUCGUGAGAUGUUGGGUUAAGUCCCGCAACGAGCGCAACCCCUAUUGUUAGUUGCCAUCAUUCAGUUGGGCACUCUAGCGGAGACUGCCGGUAAUAAACCGGAGGAAGGUGGGAUGACGUCAAAUCAUCAUGCCCCUUAUGACCUGGGCUACACACGUGCUACAAUGGUUGGUACAACGAGUUGCGAGUCGGUGACGGCGAGCUAAUCUCUUAAAGCCAAUCUCAGUUCGGAUUGUAGGCUGCAACUCGCCUACAUGAAGUCGGAAUACGCUAGUAAUCGCGGAUCAGCACGCCGCGGUGAAUACGUUCCCGGGCCUU
rnacentral:rRNA from 1 species